CAGUCGCCGCGGGAAUACAGAGGGUGCGAGCGUUAAUCGGAUUUACUGGGCGUAAAGCGUGCGUAGGCGGCUUCUUAAGUCGGAUGUGAAAUCCCUGAGCUUAACUUAGGAAUUGCAUUCGAUACUGGGAAGCUAGAGUAUGGGAGAGGAUUGUAGAAUUCCAGGUGUAGCGGUGAAGUGCGUAGAGAUCUGGAGGAAUACCGAUGGCGAAGGCAGCCAUCUGGCCUAAUACUGACGCUGAGGUACGAAAGCAUGGGGAGCAAACAGGAUUAGAUACCCCCGUAGUCCCUGUCUCUUAUAC
rnacentral:rRNA from 1 species